rnacentral:other from 1 species
CAUUGAUCGUGUAGGGUACAGAGGUAAGAUGUUCUAUCUUUCAGACCUUUUGUUUCACGUUAUUGGAUUUGGCUGAUUCAGCAGCCCCAGCGCAAGCGCUGGGGCUUUUUUUA